rnacentral:rRNA from 1 species
GACAGAGGGGGCAAGCGUUGCUCGGAAUCACUGGGCGUAAAGGGCGCGUAGGCGGGAUGGCAAGUCGGUCGUGAAAUCCUUCGGCUCAACCGAAGAACGUCGGCCGAUACUGCCGUUCUUGAGGGAUGCAGAGGAGAUUGGAAUUCCCGGUGUAGCGGUGGAAUGCGUAGAGAUCCGGAAGAACACCGGUGGGCGAAGGCGGUCUGCUGGGCAGUUGGCUGACACUGAGGAGCGAAAGCGUGGGGGAGCGAACAGG